rnacentral:lncRNA from 1 species
UUCGGUGUGAAUUUUUGCCAUUAUUUGUAGUUAUUUGUUGGCGAUUUAGGGGUUGUCCGAUCUUCCUUUGCAGCUCCAAAAAGAGAGUUACAUAUAAAUGUUAAACCAAUUUGAUGAUGAGGUGUCUGCAACAGACCUGAUUGACCAUUUCAAGACCAUCCAAAGUUAGAAGGGUAUUUUUUCGAGAAGGAGACCACUGCAUUGUCCAGCCAUUGAUGGCUCGAGGGGGGGAAUUAAUUGGCAUGGGAUUUGAAGGCCGAUGCAC